GUCUUACCGAUUUUAUUCCUGUUAGACUUUUUUCAUUCUCUUCACUCUCAUCACAUUCGUUCUCCCUUCCUCUCUGUUCGUCAGCCUCCGCCUCUCCUCUUUAUCUCUGUUCGUUGGCUUUACCUUCUCAUCUCUAUCUCGUUAUCUUUGUCGGUUGACCAUCGUCCUUUCCAAGUCUGUAUUUUUAAGAAACCCUAAAAAUUUGGCUUUCCAAUCCUAUCAAGGUUACUAGUGUUGAAGAAAUGUUUUCUCAAAAAGCAUACAUUUUGCUCUAUGUUAGACAGAGCAUAGUUUUCAAUUGUAAUAGAACUGUUGUCUUGUAAAUAAACUUUCUGAUAUGGAGAAUAUUUUGUCAUGUGCUAUUGAAGUAGUUAUUGCUAAGUUCAAAGAUCCAAUGUUUUAUGUUUGGUUAAA